AGCUUUGCGCAGUGGCAGUAUCGUAGCCAAUGAGGUCUAUCCGAGGCGCGAUUAUUGCUAAUUGAAAACUUUUCCCAAUACCCCGCUGUGGCGGCUUGAAAUAUAGCCGACACCGGCAAUUUUUGACAGUCUCUACGGAGA